rnacentral:rRNA from 1 species
AUUGAACGCUGGCGGCAGGCCUAACACAUGCAAGUCGAGCGGAUGAAGGGAGCUUGCUCCUGGAUUCAGCGGCGGACGGGUGAGUAAUGCCUAGGAAUCUGCCUGGUAGUGGGGGAUAACGUCCGGAAACGGGCGCUAAUACCGCAUACGUCCUGAGGGUGAAAGUGGGGGAUCUUCGGACCUCACGCUAUCAGAUGAGCCUAGGUCGGAUUAGCUAGUUGGUUGGGUAAAGGCCUACCAAGGCGACGAUCCGUAACUGGUCUGAGAGGAUGAUCAGUCACACUGGAACUGAGACACGGUCCAGACUCCUACGGGAGGCAGCAGUGGGGAAUAUUGGACAAUGGGCGAAAGCCUGAUCCAGCCAUGCCGCGUGUGUGAAGAAGGUCUUCGGAUUGUAAAGCACUUUUAGUUGGGAGGAAGGGCAGUAAGUUAAUACCUUGCUGUUUUGACGUUACCAACAGAAUAAGCACCGGCUAACUUCGUG